AUGAACGCUAGCUACAGGCUUAACACAUGCAAGUCGAGGGGCAGCAUGAACUUAGCUUGCUAAGUUUGAUGGCGACCGGCGCACGGGUGAGUAACACGUAUCCAACCUGCCGAUGACUCGGGGAUAGCCUUUCGAAAGAAAGAUUAAUACCCGAUGGCAUAGUUCUUCCGCAUGGUAGAACUAUUAAAGAAUUUCGGUCAUCGAUGGGGAUGCGUUCCAUUAGGUUGUUGGCGGGGUAACGGCCCACCAAGCCUUCGAUGGAUAGGGGUUCUGAGAGGAAGGUCCCCCACAUUGGAACUGAGACACGGUCCAAACUCCUACGGGAGGCAGCAGUGAGGAAUAUUGGUCAAUGGACGAGAGUCUGAACCAGCCAAGUAGCGUGAAGGAUGACUGCCCUAUGGGUUGUAAACUUCUUUUAUACGGGAAUAAAGUGAGGCACGUGUGCCUUUUUGUAUGUACCGUAUGAAUAAGGAUCGGCUAACUCCGUGCCAGCAGCCGCGGUAAUACGGAGGAUCCGAGCGUUAUCCGGAUUUAUUGGGUUUAAAGGGAGCGUAGGCGGACGCUUAAGUCAGUUGUGAAAGUUUGCGGCUCAACCGUAAAAUUGCAGUUGAUACUGGGUGUCUUGAGUACAGUAGAGGCAGGCGGAAUUCGUGGUGUAGCGGUGAAAUGCUUAGAUAUCACGAAGAACUCCGAUUGCGAAGGCAGCUUGCUGGACUGUAACUGACGCUGAUGCUCGAAAGUGUGGGUAUCAAACAGGAUUAGAUACCCUGGUAGUCCACACAGUAAACGAUGAAUACUCGCUGUUUGCGAUAUACAGUAAGCGGCCAAGCGAAAGCGUUAAGUAUUCCACCUGGGGAGUACGCCGGCAACGGUGAAACUCAAAGGAAUUGACGGGGGCCCGCACAAGCAGCGGAGCAUGUGGUUUAAUUCGAAGCAACGCGAAGAACCUUACCUGAUCUUGACAUCCCGAUGACCGCUUCGUAAUGGAAGUUUUUCUUCGGAACAUCGGUGACAGGUGGUGCAUGGUUGUCGUCAGCUCGUGUCGUGAGAUGUUGGGUUAAGUCCCGCAACGAGCGCAACCCCUGUUUCUAGUUGCCAGCACGUCAAGGUGGGAACUCUAGAAAGACUGCCGUAGAUAAUACGGAGGAAGGUGGGGAUGACGUCAAAUCAGCACGGCCCUUACGUCCGGGGCUACACACGUGUUACAAUGGGGGGUACAGAAGGCAGCUACCUGGCGACAGGAUGCUAAUCCCAAAAACCUCUCUCAGUUCGGAUCGAAGUCUGCAACCCGACUUCGUGAAGCUGGAUUCGCUAGUAAUCGCGCAUCAGCCAUGGCGCGGUGAAUACGUUCCCGGGCCUUGUACACACCGCCCGUCACACCAUGGGAGUUGGGAGUGCCCAAAGCCGGUGAGGCAACCGCAAGGAGCCAGCCGUCUAAGGCAAGACCAAUGACUGGGGUG
rnacentral:rRNA from 1 species